UUGCAGAGUAGAAGCGGCUAGUGUCUGGUGCGUCUGUUUUCAACCAGCAUGGGGCAUUGCUCUUGGG
rfam:Burkholderia sp. Leaf177 contig_9, whole genome shotgun sequence.